rfam:Aedes aegypti strain Liverpool supercont1.54 genomic scaffold, whole genome shotgun sequence.
CCUCUCAUGUCGUAGUGGUAACGCGCCCCAACUAGAGAUCGGGGAGUCGUGAGUUCGAUUCUCACUCAGAAGA